rnacentral:rRNA from 1 species
AGAACGAACGCUGGCGGCAUGCCUAACACAUGCAAGUCGAACGAGACCUUCGGGUCUAGUGGCGCACGGGUGCGUAACGCGUGGGAAUCUGCCCUUAGGUACGGAAUAACAGUGAGAAAUUACUGCUAAUACCGUAUGAUGUCUUCGGACCAAAGAUUUAUCGCCUAGGGAUGAGCCCGCGUAGGAUUAGCUAGUUGGUGGGGUAAAGGCCUACCAAGGCGACGAUCCUUAGCUGGUCUGAGAGGAUGAUCAGCCACACUGGGACUGAGACACGGCCCAGACUCCUACGGGAGGCAGCAGUGGGGAAUAUUGGACAAUGGGCGAAAGCCUGAUCCAGCAAUGCCGCGUGAGUGAAGAAGGCCUUCGGGUUGUAAAGCUCUUUUACCCGGGAAGAUAAUGACUGUACCGGGAGAAUAAGCCCCGGCUAACUCCGCGCCAGCAGCCGC